CAUUCGAGUGGCGGACGGGUGAGUAACGCGUGGGUAACCUGCCUUACACAGGGGGAUAACACCUGGAAACAGGUGCUAAUACCGCAUAAGCGCACAGGGCCGCAUGGCCCGGUGUGAAAAACUCCGGUGGUGUAAGAUGGACCCGCGUCUGAUUAGCUUGUUGGCGGGGUAGGGGCCCACCAAGGCGACGAUCAGUAGCCGGCCUGAGAGGGUGUACGGCCACAUUGGGACUGAGACACGGCCCAAACUCCUACGGAAGGCAGCAG
rnacentral:rRNA from 1 species